ACUGGUCAGUUCGGGAGAUAGCGGGAGCUACUAGCUGAUGCAGUGUGUUAUCGCUGUCACCUGGAUGAUAUUUUGGUGGUAUUGUGAGAAAGCAACCAAAACUGAACAAAGUUCUCUCCAUCAUGGCGAAUCCUUCUCUCCCACUUCAUCCCUCACUACUGAGGCAACAGAGCUCAUUCUCCCUCAGACAGAUGCCAGAAAAUCCACAUUUGAUUUCUGCUCUCCACAAGACCAAAACGUCCAACUGGAAUUCAAUAUCAAGGAUGACAGAUGGGGUUUACACACCUGAAUGUAUAUACUGAGGGAGAGGAACGUACUGAUUUUAUGCAUGUUUAUUUACUUUUGAAGAAAAAUGGUAACAAAAAGUAUUUCAGCAGUGUAACAUGUUAUAAAAGCAAUUACAAAACAAAGUUUAAUUUUAAGCAAACAAUAAAAAAACACAAGAUAUAAAGCAAGCACACUGAACGAUUUAUAAUUAGUCAAUUUAGAAUACAGAUCAAACAACACACUUUAGUGAUUGAAUGCUUAAAAAAAGCUGCCACACAAAAACCUAAAUAAAUUGAAAAGUACAACCAUCUGGGACACAGGUGUAUGAUAUAUGAUUUGAUAUGAUGUAUAGCUUUCCAAAAGCAGGGAACCCUGACUGUGUAAUGCUUUAACAAAGAAAUUCUCCAGCUUUCUCUGAAAUGUCCCCAGUUAUUCCCUACAGUAGUCCGUGCACCACCAGCUCCACAGUUUGAGAAGACUGUUUUAAUGUGUAGAGUAAAGACAUGUUGUCAAAUGGAAAGCAUUUUUGCUGGCUCUCACAAAUACCCCCUGUGUGCAUGUGUAAAUGAGAGAAAAGACAAGGCACAGUUUAUUCAUUAAUGCUGACUCUUUUCAAUAAACAAGUUUAGAGAUUUAAAGUUUAGAGUUAAAAAACAUGUACUAGUGUAACUA